rnacentral:rRNA from 1 species
UACGUAGGGGGCAAGCGUUGUCCGGAAUCAUUGGGCGUAAAGAGCGUGUAGGCGGCCCGAUAAGUCCGCCGUGAAAGUCCAGGGCUCAACCCUGGAAUGUCGGUGGAUACUGUCGGGCUAGAGUCCGGAAGGGGCGAGUGGAAUUCCUGGUGUAGCGGUGAAAUGCGCAGAUAUCAGGAGGAACACCAAUGGCGAAGGCAGCUCGCUGGGACGGUACUGACGCUGAGACGCGAAAGCGUGGGGAGCAAACAGG